GACAUUGAACUAUUACAAAAAAUCUAAUCCUUUGACCCCCAAUUUUCUCCAUUGCUGUUUAGUACUUGGUAAGUUACCAAUGUAAAAACAUGGUUUCCAGGCACCUUGCUUCUGCAGGAAAGUGGCAGUUUGUUGUUGAAACUGGCUUAAAAAGGCUCGGAAACACACAUAAUUCUGAUGUUUUGAUUUGAAAUAAUCAAUACUAAAACAUUUUGCCCCAACUCAUUUGAUUUGAAUGUUACUGAUUUUUCAGAAGGCACAGCCUCAACCAUUCUGGCAAUGUGCUUGGUUUAUUUUCAGAUUUGCGAGGUGACCAGUUUCCAGACAUUGGUUCGCUCCUGCUUGUGUACGCGAUUGGCCGAGACUAAAAAAACUGUAGUGUGCCACCUUAAGGUUUUAGUCGUUUGCUUGUAAGGCAAGAUGGUCCCUGGAGAAGAACUAAAAUACGUCAACAGCCUUGUCAGCGGAAAGACACUCCGUUGCAGUAACUGAAGAUUUGCGAGGUGACCAGUUUCCAGACAUUGGUUCGCUCCUGCUUGUGUACGCGAUUGGCCGAGACUAAAAAAACUGUAGUGUGCCACCUAUAUAU